AUUGAACGCUGGCGGCAGGCCUAACACAUGCAAGUCGAGCGAGCGGCGGACGGGUGAGUAAUGUAUGGGGACUGCCCGAUAGAGGGGGAUAACUACUGGAAACGGUAGCUAAUACCGCAUACUAUCGGAUAACCCAUAUGGGAUUGGCUAGUAGGUGAGGUAAUGGCUCACCUAGGCGAGGAUCCCUAGCUGGUCUGAGAGGAUGAUCAGCCAAACUGGGACUGAGACACGGCCCAGACGCCUACGGAGGCAGCAGUGGGGAAUAUUGCACAAUGGGCGCAAGCCUGAUGCAGCCAUGCCGCGUGUAUGAAGAAGGCCUUCGGGUUGUAAAGUACUGUCAGUCGGGAGGCGUUACCGACAGAAGAAGCACCGGCUAACUCCGUGCCAGCAGCCGCGGUAAUAC
rnacentral:rRNA from 1 species